rnacentral:lncRNA from 1 species
CGAUUUCUACCGCGGCGAGACCUCCGGGUUCCGGGGGCGGAUCUAGGGUGUGCCGGAUGCGCGCCGGCGCGCCUAAGAACUGCCGAGGUCAGUGUGGUGUAACGAAUCACUGGGUGAAAACAAGCUCGUGCCGUACCUCAGAGCCCAAUGGCUAGAGAUUGAGGGCGGGGUGGACUGGAGACAGCAGGGGCGCGAUGCCGCGGUGGGGAAGGGCGCGGACGGCGGUGGCGACGACGCGCGUGAGAGGCGGAGGGGAUUGUGGCGACGGGCGGUGGCGCUAAGCUACGGCGUACGGCGCGGCGGCGGGAGAGAUUUCAAGGCGGGCUGGGUCGGGUGGGUAGGUCGCCGUGGAGAGGAGGAGAAACGAAGGUAUGGGACUGUGGCAGAAGAAAUACAUAAACAGAAGUGGGAUAUGGCCUCUUUGUUCAACACAACACGGG